AACUCUCCCAGCUCCUUCAGAAUUUGUCUAGCAUCCUUUCUGGUUUUAGCCAGAAAACCCUU
rnacentral:snRNA from 1 species